UAUCCGCCAGAAAACUACGAGCGAAAAGCUUAAAACUCAAAGGACUUGGCGGUGCUCCAUACCGACUUAGAGGAGCCUGUCCUAUAAUCGAUACCCCACGCUAAACCUCACCAAUCUUUGCCAAGCCAGCCUAUAUACCGCCGUCGUCAACCCACCUCAUGAGAGAAAAACAGUGAGUACAAAAGUUUAAUAACUAAAACGUCAGGUCAAGGUGUAGCUAAUAGAAUGGAAGAGAUGGGCUACAUUUUUUAAAAUAAAACACACGGCACGGUACUAUGAAACUCUUACCCAAAGGAGGAUUUAAUAGUAAAACUAACUAG
rnacentral:rRNA from 1 species